AUGGCGGAGACGGUGCUGAGCAUGGCGAGGUCCAUGCUGGGUGGAGCCAUUAGCAAGGCCGCCUCUGCCGCCGCCAACGAGAUGAGCCUCCUCAUGGGUGUGCGCAAGGAUAUUUGGUUCAUCAAAGACGAGCUAGCAACGAUGCAGGCUUUCCUGGUGGCUGCUGAAGGUAUGAAGAAGAAAGACAUGCUACUUAAGGUGUGGGCAGAGCAAGUAAGGGAGCUGUCAUACAACAUUGAAGAUUGCCUUGGUGAAUUCAUGGUGCAUGUGGCAAGUCAAAGCUUGUCACGGAAACUUAUGAAGCUCAAACACCAACAUCAAAUUGCGGUGCAAAUCCGCGAUCUCAAAUCAUGA
rnacentral:rRNA from 1 species